UUACUAUCUGUUUUCAGCAAUAGUGCAGUCCAGGUGUAGCAGAUUUCAUAAUAGCUCUAACAUCCACUACAUUUGGAGGGUAAAUUUUCAAAGGCAUAAGUAGUAAAAAGAUCCCCAGGUCAGUUUGGCUGGGAGAAGGGAAGCUGUCUUUAUGUGUCUUGCAGGUUCCUGGGGAUUUCCCACCUUCGUACUUUACACUGGGGAUGGCAAGUCCAGAAAUUGUUCUGUAGUUGUGCUUUGACAGGCGCAUUUCUGCCAUUCUGUGUUUGGAGGUGUUGAAAUGCUGCUGACUUGUUUGUCACAAUAUUACUCCUAAUGCCUUUUAAAAAUUACUGUGUGUUGUCUGCUCUUCUUUCUCAAGUGAUGGUGAAUUAGAGGGGAAACAUGGAACUGAGAUGGAGUUGCCUUUGCAGACAGCUUUGGUAGGAGGCAGGAAGAGUCUGUGAUGGUUUUACAUCAUAAGGCUUGUUCCUUUUCCUUUAUCUUCAUCUGAAUGGAAAUGUAUGACUUCACCUCUCCCCAAAGAGAAAGCCACCACAAAAUGUCUUCAGGCAAAGGGUUAUGAAUCUCUUCUCAUUAGGCACUCGAGUACCUGAAAGCCGAAUUUUGAGAGGCUUCUCCUGAAAGGAUAGCCAGCUUUGUCUGUGAGAUAAAAUGCAGCUUUUCUUCAGGAAGGACAUCACAGUUCAGCUCAGAAGCACAAGCUGGAAAAGACAGACUUCAUGCAUCAUGGUGAUAAAUUGGGCAAUGCAUAGGGCCAGUUCCCUCCUACUGAGUUCUAUCAGAAAAGAAGAAGGGGUUAAUACAAAUGCCGUUGUCAUGAUUGUAAAUACAACUUGGAGAAGGAAGCAGAGAAGUCACUAGUUCCUUCUGAAUCCAGUCUGGUGAUGCAGAGAGAAAAGUGUGUGGCCAAGAAGAAAAACACCGUGUAUAUCAAAACAUAAAUGAAAAAAAAUCUCGAGAAUGGGAAAUGCUGAAGAUAAAGAGAAAGAACCCAAGAGAAUAAAAGCAAAGAUAAUAAACAGCCACAGCCAGACUCAGAUGUUCUCUGUCCCAUUAGAGAUGACUUUACCAACAUGUAUUACCUCACUGUAAAGGUAUGUAAAUAGGUGUGAUUCAGGAUGUGUCCAAAUGAAGCCUAUUGUUUUAUCUAUAUUAAAAUAUAGAAGUGAAUAGCUGUAUAGUGGUACCUGAAUUAGUAAUUGCAAGGGACUAAUUCCAACAUAUCUUAGGGGUUUAGCCAUGUAAAUCACACUGACCUUCAGUAGUGCCUAUGCACCUACAUCAGGAGCUCUAGAAAAUCUGUGUGCAUGUACUGGCUCCAGGGAAAAGUCCAGUGCUAUUAUUAUAAUGUGACUAUGACUUUGAGAACCUGUAAUGUACUCAGUUUUAUACAAAUUUACACAGUAGUAUUUGUCAGGGUUGUUGUCACUGAAGUGGAAAGCUCAAAUUGGUGUGAAUUACUGAGACUUAAUAUUGUACUUUGAAUUAUGACUUUUUAUAUUUACAUGAGAGUGUCCUUUGAGUUGCAUCUGGUUUUUGUGCUGUUUACAAACUGCUCUAAAAAGCUGAGCUGAGAAUAUUCGCAGUUAGUUCAGCAUGUGAAACAGAGAAAUAGAAUUUAGCUCUAUUCUUAAACCAUGAUUAUUUAUGUAGCAGCCGUGUUGGCCAACAAAAAGAGAGAAAGCUGAUGGGCAUGAAAAUAACCAGUCUGCUCAUACAUGAGAUUUGCUUGCAGUGGUCCCAGCAGGAGCUUGAAGAGGACUGUGUAUAUUGUGAAACACAAGGAUGUAUAGUUAAUGCAUGCCAGAAAUGACCAUUUGUGGGGCUACUUAAUGCUAGAAAUCCCACAUGGUGAUGAGAUAAUGUGAUCCUGGAGUGCAUUGUAUAGGAUUCUGUCCGGAUAGUUCUUGAAUAUAUCCAGUGAGGGAGACUCCACAACCCCUCCAGGAAACCUGUUCUAGUGCAUGGUCACUUGGACAACAGAGUUCUUCCUCAUGUUGAGAUGGAACCUCCUGUGCAUCUGUUUCUGCCCAUUGCCUCUUGUCUUAUUGCUCAGCACCACUUAGCAGAGCCUGGCUUCAUCCUUUUGGCAUCCUCCCU
rnacentral:lncRNA from 1 species